rnacentral:lncRNA from 1 species
GAUGAUGAUGUCACGAACCCAGCGGCCGUCGUUGAGUGACAGAAGGGGUGUGUGUGUGUUGGUGCGGACAGAGAACUAUACGGACGGUGGGUUGCCCUGCCCCUUCCAACGAGAGAGGGCCGCCGCGUCUUGUCUGCUAUAGAUACGUAUCUAUAGCGCUGGCCUGGAACGUAAAUAUCAGUCGGUGAGUGGCGGCGGCAUCGAUAGCUCGGCUUUCAGCUUCAGGGGCUGGAGAAAAAAGCCAAAGCUGAAGAGUGCAGAGUCAUUAGUGGGAGGAGAAUUCCUCCCAGACUCAGAUUGGACGAUUGUAAUGAGGUUCCAUGUUUAGCCGCCAUUUCGGAAGCAGAACCUAUAAGGAAAAGGCUUCAGUGAAUUGCUUCAACUUAUGCAAAAGAAAAUCAAAUCAGAACAUCCCAUGCUGACUGUAUCCAAGGAAUCCAUCCCAGAUCCUGCGUCAUCUUUCUCAUUAACUACCUUACUGAGACUCCACCCAGAGACCCACAGACCUCAAAGGAAAACUGAAUCAUAUCAAAGCAUGAAAGUAGUCUUACUCUUCAGCCUUUUUUUUCUAAUUUACGCUUACUUGGAAUGAAAUAGCCAUGAACAUAAUCGAAAUAUAGUCUAUUUGCCUCUUGUUCUUUGGGAGGGCUUAUUUCUACCACAAAAAUACAAAACUUAGAUCACAAAGAAAGUUAGAAGGAAGCAGUUUUUGAUUGCAUCCACAAAAGGCAGGUCAAAAGCAGCUAAGAUGUGAUAAUAUCUACAUACCAGUGCCUUAAUCCACAUUAAAGGCCUUAAAAUGCAUUUCCAAAAGGCAUCUUCUGUUCUUUAAUAUUGAUUAUAGGCAGAAUGGGAACACUACUGUCCGCAUGCUACUACUUCCAAGCUACGUUUUAGUAUGUGUUGAUGCAGCCUUUGCUUUCUAGUGGGGAAAAGUACAGGAAAGUGUUAUUCCCAGCACCUCCUCACAGAUAUAAACAACAAGGAGACAUCAGAAACACUCCCCUUGCAAAUACCAUAAACUCUGGUAUCAAACCCACAAAAAACAAGGGACAGAUGGAAUAGAGUAAUUAAGAUUAAUGGCUAUGUUCAUCUCAGGAUGGCUUGAUACAGUUGUGUUUGUAGUGUACCUACUGAAAAUAUAAUGCUGAUGCAAACAUAUUUGAAAAGCAUACCAGGAGUAUAAUAAAAAAGUGCCUUGAUAGUUGGUUCUGUCA